UUGAAGGUGCUAAUAAUGGGGUGAGAGCUUUUUAAGGGGGAAUACAUACAGUUUGUAAAAAAAAAAAUAGAUACUUUUUGAAAACUACAAAACUUAGAGAAAAUAGAUAAAUAAGUUUCUAUUAUAGUAUACAUAGGAAAAACUCCCUAAAAUUUUGAGGGGCUAUAGAGGGUCAUUUUCUCUAUAUCCAAGGAGUCCUGCAAUGGGCCUUGAUUUGACUGCUGUUGUGGCUCUUAUCGUUGCUCAAAUAAUUGUCAAUAUUGCAACUGGAUGUAUAUGUUGCCGGAAAGGCCCGCAUCAAUCAAGAUCUAAUUGGACACUACUGAUAUACAAGUUCAUCAGUUCAGUAUUUCGGUGCAUUCUAGAUCAAUAGAGGGCUGCAUUGUUGUACUGUGGCUUUUUAAGAAAUCCUGCCUCCUUUUGUUUAGGAAAUGGAAGCCUAUACCUCUGAGUCAUGACUGUAGACAUUAGCUACUGCACCAGUAUGAAGUAAUUAUUAGACCUAAUAAAGCAGAAUAGAUAUAGAUGACUCAUAUGAAGAUGGAUUGAUUCUUUUUCUGUGACAUGUUCAAGCUUUUCUACUAUGCUAACGGCUGCAGCACUGAAUGAUCAGCAGAGUAUAUUACCUUGGAAACUACUAUUGCUAUGUUGUAAAACCUGGAGUUUUUGUCCCUUGCUAGUGUUGCUCUUGGAAUUGUCUAUUAUCUUUCCUUCAACUCCGGGACAAACAGUAACGAUCCAUGGCAUCCACCAGCGCCAAGUUAAUGGCAUUGCAAUGGGACUUGAUCGCCCUGCAAGCUUUUGUGCAUGAAGAUACUUACAUGAGAAGGCUGUCUACUUGAUCGCCCUGCAAGAACACAGAGACAUGUUUAGAACACAUACAGUUUCUGUUAGCAGCAAUUGCUCUAUUUGUCAACUCUAACAUAAAAUUUCUUGUUUGUUCUUUUUUCUUUUUUUUCUUCUUUUUCUUUUUCAAUUGCAUCAGUAGUGAUAGCAUUUUUGUUAAAAAUAUGGCGGUCUAUAGCAUGUAUCUUAAGUUUUCGGGUGUAUAAAACAUCCUUUUUGUCGA